CUUACCAAACCUAUGCAAACUCCGAAUACCGCAGAGUACAGCUUGGGAGACAGAGCACCGGGUGCUAACGUCCGGACUCAAGAGGGAAACAACCCAGACCGCCAGCUAAGGUCCCUAAAUCAUCGCUAAGUGGUAAACGAUGUGGAAAGUCAUAGACAGCCAGGAUGUUGGCUUAGAAGCAGCCAUCAUUUAAAGAAAGCGUAACAGCUCACUGGUCAAGCGCUCCUGCGCGGAAAAUGUAACGGGGCUUAAGUGAUACACCGAAGCUGCGGAUUCGAUCUUUGAUCGAGUGGUAGCGGAGCGUUCCGUAGGCCGAUGAAGGCAGACCCGCGAGGGCUGCUGGAGGUAUCGGAAGUGAGAAUGCUGACAUGAGUAGCGACAAAGAGGGUGAGAGACCCUCUCGCCGAAAGUCCAAGGGUUCCUGCGUAAAGCUAAUCUGCGCAGGGUUAGCCGGCCCCUAAGGCGAGGCCGAAAGGCGUAGUCGAUGGGAAUGCAGUUAAUAUUCUGCAGCUUGGUGGUAGUGACGGAUGCAGUGUGUUGUAUCUCCUUAUUGGAUUGGGGGUGCAGCGAAUGUGUUCCAGGAAAUAGCUCCACUUUAUAAACCGUACCCGAAACCGACACAGGUGGACUGGUAGAGAAUACCAAGGCGCUUGAGAGAACGAUGUUGAAGGAACUCGGCAAAAUACCUCCGUAAGUUCGCGAGAAGGAGGCCCAGUUUCUACGCAAGUAUUGGCUGGGGGCACAAACCAGGGGGUGGCGACUGUUUACUAAAAACACAGGGCUCUGCGAAG
rnacentral:rRNA from 11 species